GCCGCCCCUACCUCCCGGCGUGCCGCACCCUUCCGCCGCCGCCCCUGCCAAUCCAGCGUGCUGCACGCUCCCCCCCGACGCUCCCCCUUCCCCUCUGCUUUCAAGCGCCGUUAGGCCCCUUCACCGGAGUAGAAAGGCCACCACCUCCUGCCUUCGCCUUGCGGGCCAAGACGACCACGUCCACGAGCAGGGCUCCUCCCGGCGCCUUCUGCUCGUCUGCGAGCGGGGAUCGCCCGGAGCUCAUCAUCGGCGCCCAUGAGCGGGGCUCCCGUGGAUGGCUGGAUCCCAUCGUCGGCGUCGAUAGCGUCCACGAGCGCCAACACCUCACAUCCGGGGUGAGCAGCUCCUGAAACUAUUUCUUAGCAUUGCUACAAUUCUACACUUAUGGUUCAGUCCUACUAGUACUGAUGAAAUAUAGACUUAAGUGGAAAAUUUAGUUGAUUCAUUUUGUGAACACGUAUCCGUUUCAGUGUUAAAAACAGGAACACAAUAAGUUAACUUUGCAAGUGCAUCAGUUCGCCUUGAAUGAAAUACAUAAGUGCACCAUCAAGUUUUCCAUCAGUUCGCUUAUUAAAAAAACAGAAGUUUGGUUGUGUAAAGAAAGCUGGAGAACCAAUGUCAGCCUAGAAGUUUAGGUCGUGGAGCAAGCCUGCGCAAACAAAGGACUCCUGUAGCGCUUCUCCAGCUUAUCCGUUGCGUCAAUGGCACUCUCUCGCAGCAAUCUCUCUCCUUCUCUGCUUCUGCUAUUAAAAUGCAUACAAGUGUUGUUAUGCUAAUUGAUUAGCUUUUCUUGCUCUUUAGGUGUUUGCCACUAUUCUUGUGAGCACCAUUUUAAUAUGCUUAUUUUGUGCUCCCAUGAAUGUUUUUGGAGCAGUACAAAUACAUCAUCAUAGUGAGUAAAGAUGUGGCACCUUGGGAAGUACUACCAUUAAUGUUUAGAUCAAGUUCAGAACAGAAAACCUAGAAAAAAUGUGUGCAAAAAGAAACAUGUUCUCGGAUGCUCUAUAAGUACAUGAUAAUUGGCUUUUGGUUGGUACUUUCCUUGAAAUGCAGUUGCUUGGUAGCUCACUGGACAUCCCCCCUCAUUAUUAGCUGAUGAUGUGGAUGAUUCUGAUUGUUUACUUAACAGGACGGGGACAUUUUCCUCUUUGAUUCUUGAUGUGCCGCUGCCGCUGUUUGUCUACCAUGCCUCAAGAAACUAAAAUGCUUUUCAGUUCAUCUACUCUGCGAUUGUUUUUGUGCUGCUACAAAUGUGUGUGUGCUGCUACUCAUCAGAUAGCUUAACUAAUUUUUGUUCAGUUCAAUUUCCAAUUUUAGUUCAGUUCAAUUCUUAUUUUUAGUUUAGUUAAGUCAACUCUUAUUUUUUACUUCAGCUAUCUGAUGUAUUCCCCUUGUUAUUUGAGUAACCGAAUAGUGCUUCAUUUUCAUGCUUCUAAGAUACUACUCCUCCGUAUCUAACUGAGCUUCAGCGUGCUUCUUUAUGUCUUAGUACUAAUUUUCUUUGCCAUCAUAUAUCAUAAAGAUAGUACUGUUUGUAUCUUGCUAAUAGUUUCUAGGAACUUGAUGAGUUAAUAAAUGAAUAAUUUCUUGUUGCAAGUCUGGUCUCAUUGUCCAUGCUAUCUUGUUAUGCUUAUUAAGAUUGUCCAUGCCAUCUUACUAUAGUUGGUAAAUGAGUGAGGAACUUUUUGUUAUUCUGAGUAAGAAAAUUUUGAUCACAUAGCUAGUAGUAACUAAAGAGAGUUCAGUUUGUUAUCUUAGUUAAGUUCAAUUUCUAAAUUUUAGUUAACUUAAAUUAAGCUCAAUUUUUAUUUUUGGUUCAGUUCAAUAAAACAGAAAUUGGAGGUUCAGAUAUGGCACCGAGAUAGGUUCAAAAAAAUGGGGGCAACAACAACGGCAGUAACAACAUCGAAGAGCUGGAGAUGAGCAAGUUAGGUACUCACAAUGAUACGCCGUCCCACGCUGGCGUGUGGGUAGAGCGUCGGUGUGGUGGGGUGAGGAGAGAAGUUGGUGGUGGCAGAGGUGAGGGGAACCAGCGGCGUAGUGGUAGCAGCGGGAAGGGGGCGGUGGUGGAGGGACGGAGUGUCGCUCUGCAUGUUGGAGAGUAAACUGUAGUAGGACACCUCUGCCCCGCCGCCAACGCGCAUCCCCACCACUGUCGCCAACCUCACGCGCCGGCCUGCAUCCCCUCCCCACUCAUGGACGUCAAGUUCAGGUAUGUAGUGUACGAUAAGUUCAGGUACUUUGCCGUGGACGGCCAAGUUCAGGGACGCCUCUGUGCCUGAGGCAAGUAGUGGAGCUAUAUCCAGUUAUUUAGACCUUUCAAUCAUACUGCUCUGCUUUUCUUUACUCAAAUUAUUCUGAAAAAGUUCAAUUUAUAAAAGCAGAUAAGUCCAGGGUUCACCGGUGGAAGUUUGAGGAAAAAAUAUAAAAGAAAAGGAGAGUUAUUAGUGGAACAAAAGUAAAAGGAGACGCUUUAUUUUGCUGGCAGAUAAUACUUGUUCCAUAAUUUCCGUCUGCCCUAACCGGCAGUACUCCUAGUACCGCACCUCCAGUCGGCGACCUCGCUCUGAAAACUGACAUUGUUUAGCACGUACUGAUCCAUUCAACUUUUGGUGUGUUCAAAAACAAUUGUUCAUUAUUUGCUAAAAACAGGGAGUUCAUAGUCGAGAAGGCAGGGAGUUCAGAAAAGAAUGUGAACAUGAAAAACCAUAAAAAAUAACCUAAAACUUGUGUUAGGGGAGUUCUUCAAGAAGUUCGUAGCUAGUCGACCGUGUUGUGUAUCCUUAUUAGUUCAUAGUUGAGAAGACAUGUAUUCUUAGCAGUUUGUGCAUCUAGCCGUUCGUGUUGUGUAUUCUGGUCAGUUCGUGUGUGUAUGUGUUUCCCUCGUGGUGUAUGAGAGGUGCCCCGCAGAGCCGAGGAAGUCAUCGAUCUGGUCGAGGCAUCCUCCGAUUCUCUAUUUUUGGUAGCACAAACAUUUAAAAGUUCAAACACUAGACCCCGGUAAGUUCACCUUGAGAAAACCCCAUCUCUCAUCUGUUUCCAUUUUUACAGGUUGCAGCAAAAACAAGAUGCACAAGUUCAUCUUUUGUAUGCUUUUCAGUUCAUCUACUUCCGAUGGUGAGUCCGAUUUCCUUUGUGUUUCCAUGUUCAUAUAACAGAAGCAAGUGCUUGUGGUUAUGCUUCAGAAUGAGCACCGUACUUUCACUUGGAUAACAUGAAAAUAGGAUGCACCGUGGAUGUGCUCAGCAUAAAACCGGAUGAAGUUCAUGUUGCAUACGCCUUUCCCUCUCCGUUGUUUCACUCUUAAAAACACGUGUAUGUGUGGCUUCUUAUUGCUUCUUGCUGCCACUAUUUUUUGUAAAUGAUUUUGCGUGUGCACUCCAGGAGUGUUUUUGUUUCUGUAGGUCAGCUGCUCAACAUUCUUGUACCGCUCAGUACAUGUAUUACUACUAGGAAGGUUCAAAAAUCAGAACUAAACAAGUUCAACAUGGUGUAUGCCCCCACAUGAGACCAUCGAGAGGGUGCACCGCGGCGUCAUGGACUACAUCAAGAACGCGCUCACCCUCUUCACCGACUUUUCCGCCGUCCUCAUCAUCAUGAACGCAGGAGACAAUUCCGAGGACAAGAAGAAGAGGAGGAGGAGGUCCUGAGAGUGUCAUAUGUGCAUCUAUUUUUUUGUUUCAAAAGUAGAAGCGGAAGAUGUAGAGGGUGGACUACUCAGGGCGAUUGCUGCUGAUGUUGUGUUGUGUUAGGUCAGCAAGUAGUGCUAAAAUUAUUUUGCAGGAAGAGAAGGCAGCGAGAAGAUGUUCCAGGAACUGAGGCUAUUCCAAGGAACAAGACCGGUAACAGCUAGCACAAAGGAGACUAUGUCGAGAGGUGGCGCUGCUAGACUUGUUGAUGUGUAGUAAUUAUGACAUAAAAAGCUGAAAAUUAUUGUAUAUUGUAUAAUUCCAUAAGCUGUACGUAGCAAAUCUGUCCAUGUGGAUCAGUACAACUUAUGUACAUCCUUAAAUUCACAAAUCUUAUAGUCAUCUUUGUAGUACUCUUCGUGACACUUUGUAAAGCAAGAGUGGCCCAUUUUCUGUAAGCAACAAUUCAAACG